rnacentral:rRNA from 1 species
AAUCCAUAGGUUAAUGAGGCGAACCGGGGGAACUGAAACAUCUAAGUACCCCGAGGAAAAGAAAUCAACCGAGAUUCCCCCAGUAGCGGCGAGCGAACGGGGAGGAGCCCAGAGCCUGAAUCAGCAUGUGUGUUAGUGGAAGCGUCUGGAAAGGCGCGCGAUACAGGGUGACAGCCCCGUACACAAAAGCGCAUGUGCUGUGAGCUCGAUGAGUAGGGCGGGACACGUGGUAUCCUGUCUGAAUAUGGGGGGACCAUCCUCCAAGGCUAAAUACUCCUGACUGACCGAUAGUGAACCAGUACCGUGAGGGAAAGGCGAAAAGAACCCCGGCGAGGGGAGUGAAAAAGAACCUGAAACCGUGUACGUACAAGCAGUGGGAGCACCCUUUGGGUGUGACUGCGUACCUUUUGUAUAAUGGGUCAGCGACUUAUAUUCUGUAGCAAGGUUAACCGAAUAGGGGAGCCGGAGGGAAACCGAGUCUUAACCGGGCGUUAAGUUGCAGGGUAUAGACCCGAAACCCGGUGAUCUAGCCAUGGGCAGGUUGAAGGUUGGGUAACACUAACUGGAGGACCGAACCGACUAAUGUUGAAAAAUUAGCGGAUGACCUGUGGCUGGGGGUGAAAGGCCAAUCAAACCGGGAGAUAGCUGGUUCUCCCCGAAAGCUAUUUAGGUAGCGCCUCGUGAAUUCAUCUCCGGGGGUAGAGCACUGUUUCGGCUAGGGGGCCAUCCCGGCUUACCAACCCGAUGCAAACUGCGAAUACCGGAGAAUGUUAUCACGGGAGACACACGGCGGGUGCUAACGUCCGUCGUGAAGAGGGAAACAACCCAGACCGCCAGCUAAGGUCCCAAAGUCAUGGUUAAGUGGGAAACGAUGUGGGAAGGCCCAGACAGCCAGGAUGUUGGCUUAGAAGCAGCCAUCAUUUAAAGAAAGCGUAAUAGCUCACUGGUCGAGUCGGCCUGCGCGGAAGAUGUAACGGGGCUAAACCAUGCACCGAAGCUGCGGCAGCGACACUGUGUGUUGUUGGGUAGGGGAGCGUUCUGUAAGCCUGUGAAGGUGUGUCGUGAGGCAUGCUGGAGGUAUCAGAAGUGCGAAUGCUGACAUAAGUAACGAUAAAGCGGGUGAAAAGCCCGCUCGCCGGAAGACCAAGGGUUCCUGUCCAACGUUAAUCGGGGCAGGGUGAGUCGACCCCUAAGGCGAGGCCGAAAGGCGUAGUCGAUGGGAAACGGGUUAAUAUUCCCGUACUUGGUGUUACUGCGAAGGGGGGACGGAGAAGGCUAUGUUGGCCGGGCGACGGUUGUCCCGGUUUAAGCGUGUAGGUGUGUGUUCCAGGUAAAUCCGGUUCACUUUAACACUGAGGCGUGACGACGAGGCACUACGGUGCUGAAGCAACAAAUGCCCUGCUUCCAGGAAAAGCCUCUAAGCAUCAGGUAACAUCAAAUCGUACCCCAAACCGACACAGGUGGUCAGGUAGAGAAUACCAAGGCGCUUGAGAGAACUCGGGUGAAGGAACUAGGCAAAAUGGUGCCGUAACUUCGGGAGAAGGCACGCUGACACGUAGGUGAAGUGAUUUACUCAUGGAGCUGAAGUCAGUCGAAGAUACCAGCUGGCUGCAACUGUUUAUUAAAAACACAGCACUGUGCAAACACGAAAGUGGACGUAUACGGUGUGACGCCUGCCCGGUGCCGGAAGGUUAAUUGAUGGGGUCAGCGCAAGCGAAGCUCCUGAUCGAAGCCCCGGUAAACGGCGGCCGUAACUAUAACGGUCCUAAGGUAGCGAAAUUCCUUGUCGGGUAAGUUCCGACCUGCACGAAUGGCGUAAUGAUGGCCAGGCUGUCUCCACCCGAGACUCAGUGAAAUUGAACUCGCUGUGAAGAUGCAGUGUACCCGCGGCAAGACGGAAAGACCCCGUGAACCUUUACUAUAGCUUGACACUGAACAUUGAGCCUUGAUGUGUAGGAUAGGUGGGAGGCUUUGAAGUGUGGACGCCAGUCUGCAUGGAGCCGACCUUGAAAUACCACCCUUUAAUGUUUGAUGUUCUAACGUGGACCCGUUACCCGGGUUGCGGACAGUGUCUGGUGGGUAGUUUGACUGGGGCGGUCUCCUCCUAAAGAGUAACGGAGGAGCACGAAGGUUGGCUAAUCCUGGUCGGACAUCAGGAGGUUAGUGCAAUGGCAUAAGCCAGCUUGACUGCGAGCGUGACGGCGCGAGCAGGUGCGAAAGCAGGUCAUAGUGAUCCGGUGGUUCUGAAUGGAAGGGCCAUCGCUCAACGGAUAAAAGGUACUCCGGGGAUAACAGGCUGAUACCGCCCAAGAGUUCAUAUCGACGGCGGUGUUUGGCACCUCGAUGUCGGCUCAUCACAUCCUGGGGCUGAAGUAGGUCCCAAGGGUAUGGCUGUUCGCCAUUUAAAGUGGUACGCGAGCUGGGUUUAGAACGUCGUGAGACAGUUCGGUCCCUAUCUGCCGUGGGCGCUGGAGAACUGAGGGGGGCUGCUCCUAGUACGAGAGGACCGGAGUGGACGCAUCACUGGUGUUCGGGUUGUCAUGCCAAUGGCACUGCCCGGUAGCUAAAUGCGGAAGAGAUAAGUGCUGAAAGCAUCUAAGCACGAAACUUGCCCCGAGAUGAGUUCUCCCUGAGACUUAGAGUCUCCUGAAGGAACGUUGAAGACGACGACGUUGAUAGGCCGGGUGUGUAAGCGCAGCGAUGCGUUGAGCUAACCGGUACUAAUGAACCGUGAGGCUU